rnacentral:lncRNA from 1 species
GUGAGAGAAGGAGAUACUAUAUACUCCUCAUUAGAUCAGAAUUACUGUCUAACUGCCAGAGACCCAGGCAAUGAUGUGUUUGUAUUAUUUGGUGCUAUUGUUGUUCUUCCUUUAAUUGCUCUUUCACUUAAAGUUUUGAAGCCUCUCCUUAGUGUUUCUAAAACUGCAUCAAUUUGUGUUUCGGGAAGUCUCAGAAUUUUUUUUUUUUCGCAUCAAAGUUAUUGAGUCUUCUUUGCAGUAUUUAUUUUAUGCUGGCCACCUCCCUUCAAGAUAAAGAUAGUUAACAGUUUUAUAGCACUCAUGUCCAAGAAAUUCUUCUAUAUGGCGAACAUACGCAAACUCAUCUAAGUCUUCUAGUAACCCGGUGAAGUAGAUCUUAGGGUUGUUAGCACCAGGGCACAGAUUAGGAAACGGAAAGAGAGGUCAUGGUCGUAUGAAUGGCAUAGCUGAGCUUGGAACCCAAGCAGUCUAAGGUCUUCAGUCUGUGAUCAUAGAUGUUCCAUUACGUUACCUUAACUCAGGUCAUUCCCACAUUAUUACAAUGUGAAGAAAUGCUGCUAGUGAUGUUUUUUUCUAAAAAGAAAUCUAGCUAGCUAGCUAACUUUGAACUAAUUAUAGAGAGGAAUGAUGUAUUUCCCACUAUGUUUAUCCCCUUCCUUCCCAGAAAUCCCCGUGAAAAAUACAAAUGACAUAAAAGGUUGGCAGGUGGACUGGGUUUGCAGGACACAAUAGAGUUAAGUGGAGUGUCUUGGAAAUCCGAAGGAGCGAGUUUCAGUCUUGGCAUUGACCUGAACAAGCUCUGGGACCUUGGACCUGUUCCUUGACUUUCCUAAGCCUGUUCCUUAUGAGUACAGUGAUUUCUGCUUUACCGUUCCAGGAAGCCAUUGCCCAGGACAGUAAGAAAAAGGGUUUUGCCUGCAGGACCGACCCCUUGAGAGAGAUGCAGGCUUGGGGCUGACUCCUUUCAGGAUUAUCUGACGGCGUAGAACUUGGCUGGAAGUCAUGGAGCCAUGAAGAGCGGGGACGGGUGGGUCUCCCAAAGAAACAUCCCCUUUAGAUAAGAUUCACCUUUGUAUUCUUUUUUUUUCUGGGGUGCUAUUUGUCAUUUUCGUUUCUUUUUCCAGAUUAUAAUUUACUACCAUUUGGAAUUCUGUCACUGUUUCCUGUUAGCAUGAGCGUAAUCAUCACUAACAGGAACAAAGGUUCAAGGAGCUCUCAUUUCCCCCCUGUUGUUCCUUUUGUUUAUUAAUCAGAUUUAACGUGAACCCAACAUCCUGACAACGCUUCAGGUGUGACUGACGAGUGACCUUCAUGCUCGGUGGCGAGAAUGUUAGAGCAGCUCGGUGUUUUUAAUUGUUAUUCUCAUUCUGAAUUUAAUAUCUGAUCUGUAAGAUUUCUCUUUGGUUUCUCAGAGUAUUGUUGGUUGAGAUGUGUACAAAAGGAAUAUGAGAAUCUAACAGAUUUUUGCACUGAAAAAGACAUUAUUUCAUCGUAUGGCCUUUUGCAGCUUCCCUGGGACCCUGUUCUUAUUGCUCUAAGUUUUACAUUUAACUUUAAUAUCACUUUGAGAAAUCUAGAAAUAGAGCAAUUAAGGCAUGUAUGAACAUUUAAUCACUGGGCCUUCGGAGUGUCAGUAGUAGAAAUCUUUGACAUUUGUUUUCUCAUGACUCGUAUAUGAGGACUGCCAAUUUGGUUGUAACUUAAACUUUAUUUUAUCACAGGCUUGAUUGGCUGAGACUUUGCACUCACUUUAAAAGGUAUAAAAUAUUAGCUCAUAGAUCGCUAGGGGCAGGUAAUGUAAGUCUACGUAACGUAUAUGAAAUGAUCGGUGCCUUUUAUUUUAUAAAUCACCACGACUAGGGGUUGAAGCACUUCCUCCUCACAUUUGCUAUGUGUGGUCCAAAUUAGAGGAAAGAAAGAAAAGCUCUCUUUUGCUUCUAGUUCUUUUUUCCAUGGGCGGGCGCUAUUUAUGUGUCAAGGAAUCAAUGGCUAAACUCUGCAUCUCUGGGUUUCAGCUCUAGAGCUGCCUACAAAACCUUGAUUUAGAGGAAAUCAAGGUAGGAAUGUGUUGACUCCAUGUAUAAUCUGUAAGCAGGUCCCUCAUAUGUUUAAAAAAGUUUUUCUCUAAACCUCCAUUUUCAUUGCCCUAUAGCACUUUCAAAUUCUGAUUGAUUCUGAAACUCCCAGCUUGUCUUUAAAAUUACCAAGAUUAUUUACAGAGGGUUUUAAAGAGAGAUUUCAAAAGAUUUGACAUAGGAAGAGAGGGUGAAAGAAUAGAACUUGUGAAGCCCAAGGAGCCAAGGCUCACAUGAUCCACCAGCUACUUCCUGGACAGGGUGCUCGGGGCAGAGCACCCAGUGAACUUUCAGAGAAUAGUUAAGUCGCAUUCCUUCUUGGUCAGAUCAUCACUGAACAUAAAUUAAAAAAGUGGCAGUCUCUCAGAACAGAAUAUGAUCCUGUUUUCCAGUAGAACUGGCUGUUACUGGUCCUUUAUCAUCCCAAGAAUAGGUUUCCCUUUAAGAACUUAGGGUAUGUUUCCCAUCCAGGCUCUUGUCCCAUAGAAUUAGUGCUUGACUUGGCUUGAGCCAUUGCUUUUGGUCCAUUGAGCUCCUUUGCUGGUCCAGCUUCUGUACUGCGCUCAGGAGAUACAGAGGUAAAUAGCUUUUCCCCACGAUAUCUCACAGGGGGAAGACCUCGUAGGGGGUCAUUGACAGGGAGGCAAUUUAUCAUAAGGUGCCACGUGUUAGUAGAGCAUUCACAGGGAGCUGGGGAUACAGAAGAAGGAGUCAGAACUACCUCUUUUUUUGUUGUUGUUGUUGAGUCCAUGGCAAAUGGAAGUUCCCAGGCCAGGGAUCGAACACAUACCACAGCAGCAUCACACCUGAUCCUUUAAGCACUAGGCCACCAGGAAACUCCCAGAACUCUAGCUUUUCAUUCAUGUAGUUGGAAAUUGGCAGGAUAGGAGAUGCAAUGACUAUGCCUCUCAAAUACUGGAGUAUCUCCCACGUCUAGGACCUGAGCACUCGCUCGGCAAUCUGUAUUUACCCUAAAUGCCUCUCUUCAGCAUUCUCACCGUGACUGUCCUACUCAGUGGCAUCUGAAGUAAAAUGUUAGGAAAACAUUUAGACAUCAGCCCAAUAAAUCACACAGAUGAUUUUGCUAAUAGGGUAUAGGGACAUUUUUAGGGAAGAUGUUAGAAUCUCAGAAAGCCAUGGAUGAGCCUGUCUUUAAGUUCUUCCUGUACUUACGGAUUGGACAACAGAAGACCUGUCUGAAUCUUAGUAGGCCAUCUAGGUGUGCUGGUGAGGGGGUAGAACAUCCUCCAAGGACAAAUGUCAUCCCUGAGGCGAAGGUGGUCCAGGUCCCUAAGCAUGGUGAGAAGCUUAGGGAAAUAAGGAACUGCUAAUUUACCUAGAGGGAGGCAUGUCACAGUAGCACUGUGGUCCUGAUUGCUGAGGAUUCUUAUGCUCAGCUUCUCUCCUGGAUGCAACAAUGCCAGUCUCUUCCUCCAACUCAGGACCCUAUGGAACGUAGCAAAACCUCAAGAGUGCGGAAAUAAGGUGCCUGGCUUAACAGAAUUUUCUGUGUUAUUAAGAGUAAACCCUUUUGUUAAGAGUAAACCCUUUUAUUAAAAAAGUAAACCCUGGAGCUCCCAUCGUGGCUCAGUGGUUAAUGAAUCCAACUAGGAACCAUGAGGUUUCGGGUUUGAUCCCUGGCCUUGCUUAGUGGGUUAAGGAUCCAGUGUUGCCAUGAGCUGUAGUGUAGGUCGCAGACACGGCUUGGAUCUGGUGUUGCUGUGGCUGUGAUGUAGGCGGGCAGCUUCUGCUCCUAUUAGACCCCUAGCCUGGAAACCUCCAUAUGCUGCAAGUGCGGCCCCAGAAAAGACAAAAAGCCAAAAAGAAAAUAAUAAUAAAUAAACCCUUUUAUUGAAAGUAAACAUUUUUUUCCUUCUUUCCUUUUGUCCAUGAAAAUGUCUUUACUGCAAUUGAGUGAAUACCCUCGAAUCUUUUGGGGCUUAUAUGGUGUUUGGAGGAUUUCCUCGGGUUUGUUUGACUUUGGCUGUUAAUCCUCAUGGUAAGAGAUGAGCUACCUUUUGAAAAUUCAGAUGUUUUCUGUAACUUUAAACAACUAAAUAAACACUGAUUAUGUAUUUAUUUGCUAUGUGAAGGUUCUGGAUAGUGAAAUUGAAGUUUACCAGUAUAGUGCGAUGCUGCUUUUAAUAUACAUGACAAACACAAGAAAGCAAGCUCUUCUGCUGUCUUAAAACAGUUUUGCCACCAAAAGGAAAGAAAAUAGACAAUAAAGAAAAUAGGUGGGGGAGUUCCCAUAGUGGCUCAGUGGAAAUGAAUCUGACUAGCUUCCAUGAGGACAAAGGUUCGAUCCCCGGCCUUGCUCAGUGGGUUAAGGAUGCAGCUUUGCUGUGAGCUGUGGUGUAAGUCACAGAGGCGACUCGGAUCUGGCUGUGGUGUCGGCCAGCAGCUACAGCUCCAAUUUGAUCCUUAGGCUGGGAAUCUCCAUAGGCCAC